AUCGGACAAAUGCCGCCGAGUUGAAUAUCGUUUUACCAGUACGUAUUUAAAUAAGAUAUAUGAUAAUGCAGGCGAAAACGAAAGAGGAAGUUCUUUAGAGAAGAAUAGUUGUUUUCGGAAAAUGAAAUCAACUAUUGAUAAAUUUGAUCUUGGAAUAAAAUGCUAUGGCACCACUUCUUGUUGCUGCGAUUGAUUUUGGAACAACGUACUCUGGAUGGUCUUAUUCGUUUAAACACGAGUUUGAUCUUGAACCAACAAAAGUCGUGACGAAGCGUUGGUAUGGAGACAGUUUAAUGUCAAUGAAAGCACCGACAUGUGUUCUGAUCGAACCCGAUGGGGAGACGUUCACAUCGUUUGGAUAUGACGCUGAAAACAAGUACACCAGUCUAGUUGAAGCGGAGGAACAUGACAAAUGGUACUUCUUCAGGAGAUUCAAGAUGAAGCUUUAUAAUAAGAACAUACAUAGAGACAUGGAAUUAGAAGAUGAAACCGGAAAGAAACUAAAAGCAAAUUUUGUUUUCUCGGUUGCAAUAAGAUUUCUUAAAGAUGACCUGUUAAAAGUCAUUGAGGAACGUAUGAAAGGAGGCGUCCAACCAGAGGAGAUCAGUUGGGUUUUGACGGUUCCCGCUAUCUGGGAUGGUGGUGCAAAGCAGUUUAUGAGAGAAUCGGCCGAAACGGCCGGCAUUUCUUCUGACAAACUGAGCAUAGCAUUGGAGCCAGAGGCCGCAGCCAUUUACUGUCGAUUGUUACCGAUGGAAAACAAUGACCAAGAUGGCUUGUUGUCUACAUUAAAAACAGGAAGCAAAGUCCUUGUUGUUGAUGCAGGAGGCGGCACAGUUGAUAUUGCUGUCCAAGAGGUAGCAGAGAACGGUUCGAUGAAGAACAUUUUCAAGGCAAGUGGGGGUGACUGGGGCGGGACGAAGGUAGACGAGGCUUACGUGAGGUUUUUGGAAGAUAUGUUAGGAAAGGACACAAUUGACGAAUUUAAACGAUCCAAUAUGGAAGAUUACAUGUUCAUGAGUCGACAAUUCGAAAUGAAAAAGCGAGAAGUUGACCCACUGCAUAGUGAUAAACCAGUGGUAUUCAGAAUUUCAGCAACGUUACCAGAAUUAGUAAAGCAAAGAAAGGGCAUGGAGAUACACGACCUUAUUAUUCACUCUGCAUAUAAUAACACGGUAUCAAUAAAAGCGGACAAAUUGAAAGUCGAUAUGGAUAUAGUUAGGAACUUUUUCAAGAUCCAAGUUGACGCAAUAGUUGACCAUGUUUCCAAUCUGCUUGAUCCGUCGAACAUAGGUGAUAUUGGAGCAAUUUUGUUAGUUGGAGGAUUUAACGAUUGUCCGUUACUCCAGCAAGCUAUGAAGACAACGUUUGUUAACCAUACAAUCAUCAUCCCAAAUGAGCCAGACCUUGCAGUAUUGAAGGGGGCCGUUAUAUUUGGACAUAAACCAGAGCUGAUUUCCCAGCGAGUGAGUCAAUAUACGUAUGGGGUAAAGGCAAGGGUUCCUUUUAUUGCGCAUGUUCACAAAGACUCUUAUAAAAAAAUAAUAGAAGACGGGAAAGUUUGCUGCUGCAAUGUCUUUGAUAAACAUAUUGCAGCCGGACAGUGCCUCAUUAUUGGAGAAGCACAAGUUGAAAAGAAUUACAGUCCAUUUGAUUCAAGUGGAACCGCUUUAGGCUUCAACGUUUAUUACACACUUGAACCAGAUCCGAUGUACAUCACUGACGAAGGUUGCUCUCUUGCAGGCACCUUAAAAGUUCCCAUAGAAGGAAGUGGGCUUGCCCGAUCUGUAACGGUACGACUGAUUUACGGAGGGACAGAGAUAGAGGUUAAGGCGAUUGAAAUCGCCACAGGGAAAGUACAUCGCAUGAAAAUUGACUUCUUGGGCUAAACUUAAUUUAAAGAAGAGCUAUUGAAAUAUUCUAUGAACUGAACUGAAAAAACACAGAGUUUGGAACACGUUUUAAUGGAAACAGUUGUAACGGGAUCAUCGAAUAAUAAGGAAACAGGAAGUGGAAAUGGCAAAGGUGGCGGGGGUUUCACGAACAGUUCGUCACCGCAGGGCGAUGACUUUGCUCGGGCUUGGCUGGACUGUAAGUCAAAGUCCCCACUAUUCCCUGGACCUGGGGGGCCGUGGUUACAAUUGACUGGUAAAAAAGAAAUAAGAAUUUAGAAAUUUAAAACAGGCAUUAUACUUCAAGAUCAUAUUCUUCACAGGUGGCGGGGGUUUCACGAACAGUUCGUCACCGCAGGGCGAUGACUUUGCUCGGGCUUGGCUGGACUGUAAGUCAAAGUCCCCACUAUUCCCUGGACCUGGGGGGCCGUGGUUACAAUUGACUGGUAAAAAAGAAAUAAGAAUUUAGAAAUUUAAAACAGGCAUUAUACUUAUACUGAAAGGUUUCAAUUUUCUGACUUUACUGAUGUUAUUAUAUGUGUAAUUACAGAAUGUUUUUAAAACGUUUUCCUACUUUUUUAUCUGUUUAUAACACUCAUGAGUAUAUUAAUACUAAGAAAUGCAUUUUAGAAUUUAAAAAAAUUACCCACGAAAACAUGUUCAAUGUUGUAAGUCGUGUAUCCUGCGUGUAUUUGAAUAGAAGUUUUGCACUCAAAAUCUGAUUUAGUUAUUAUUUUGCACUAAAUUUUGAGUACAAAACAAUGAAUUACUUGAAACACACAUAGAUAAUUAUUGCCUUCGACGCUGUGAAACUGUUGUUGUUUACUGAAGACUAUAAUCCAUUGACUAUGACACUGUUUUUCACUUAAAACGGGUAUUUUCAUUACGAAAACUGAUUUGGUAAACUGAAAUUAAUACCGGAAUUGAAUAACAACGGUGCGUCCCGCAAAAUUUGCCCGACAAAAAACACCGGAUACUGGACUUACCGAAAUACGCUUAUUUACCGAAAGACGGAUAAAAUUACCGAAAUACGCAUGAAAGUUACCGAAAGACGCCUUCUAAUGCAUUUAUUUUUAAAUAAUCUUGUAUAUAUAAUGAUUAUACGCAUUGUAGCGACAAUUAUAAAAAAAAAUAUUUAUAGAAGAGAUUUGCUGACGAAUUGCUGACCAUAUAAACAAAGAAGGAUUUUUUUAAAGUUUUUCUGUUUGUUUUUAAUGUUUUAAAUGUUUUACUGUUAUGUGAAAUAAUUAAUUGAAUUGACGACUGUUAUUUUUUGUUAGUCCAAGAGCGUUUCGUUGCAGAUAGAUGUCUUUUUAUCAUUAAAAGAUAGAAAGAAAACUGUCUACAUCCAGGCCACAC